AACCACCCCCAUCCAUGGACCAGGAAGCGUCCUGCUAUGAUGCCCUUGUCCUAGUUCUGUGUAAGAUUGCAUCAAUACUAGGAUCAGUGUCUUAAUCAGCAAGCUGUAUCUGACCCGGGAACGGAGUCUCCAUGGGAAUGCUGUUUGGAACACCAUCACAGCUUUGAUGCAGACACUCAUGCACACAAGCUACAAAACACCACAAGAACCACAUGCUGUGAUUACUGCAUGCAGCCACAAGGUCAAGCUGGUGAAUCUUAACAGCCAUCCCAGUAGACACCAGUCCCCUAGGGGACAUGAAAGGCCUGCACAAACAGCAUGCUCCUACAAUCCCACAACCGGCACCUCUGCUAGGAGUCACGGCAGAAGACAUUCCCCUUGGGCCGAAGACAUACACUCAGCAGCAGCAGAGGAUCAAAGCCUGGUGGAGAAAAUAGAUCAGAUUAAUGAAGCCAAGCUGUUUUCUGCAGCUCAGAGACAUGGAGGGUGACCAGCAUGGCUGUAUUUGUUUCUCUACAGAUUGGCAUAAUCUUACACAGUGCUUCUUUGGUAUGAUUUAAACAAAAGGUUUCAUGGAUUAACCUCAAAUGCUCUUUGAAAUGUGUUAUGGAACAACACUUAGAGUUCUUUUUUCCACAUUUAACUCCCAUUCACUUUUGGCCAUGAAACUCAACAAAAUAUUUGAUGAGAUCUGGGAACAUUGAUGUUGUGGUAGAAGCUUGUGAAUAGACUAAAUACUGGACAUGGUAUAAAAAAAACUGUUCAGCCAUAUUCAGUCUUAGAGAUAAAAUCAAAAGUGAGUGCACAAAUAGAGUUACAUAUGCUUUCCUCUAUCAGUAAUGCUUUAUUUUACAGGUCUGCUAUUUCCAAAUAAUUUCUUGAAAGUUUCUUGCAAAGAACCAUGUAGCUUGGUAAUAAUUACAGGAAAAAAGAAACAAAGUUUUACAAGUGAUUUUUUUUCUUUCUUCCAGAUGAAUUUCCAUAAGAGAACCUGCUCAAUGUAAACCCCAGUUAAUAUUUACUUUUUAUAUAUUAAUUAUUUGAGAUGGUAUUCUUGGGGUGGCACAGCGGUGAUGUUAGCACUGUCACCUCACUUGCUUUGUAUCUUUUCUUUGUGUCUUAGUCCCAAGCUUUUAAGAUUAAAGGAACAAAUGUGAAGAGAUAAAAACUUAGGGAACAUGGUUUUAGAGACCUGAGAUGAACUUUCUUCCAGUUCAUCUGAAAUGUCCAAUCACCUACUGAUUUCUGAUAAAGGGUCGUGUCGGUUCAGCUAAGGAUGGUCUCUGGUGUCCUCCAGGAGGCCUCCUUGAUUUUUGCUCCUCAUAGCAAGAAUAGGAGCUUUUUGUUGGCGUUUAAGAUGGCAGAUGACUUCCAAAUCAAGCAAAAAUUGAGGAGUGAGGAACAAUCUGCAUACAGAAUUACAGGCAGAGGAAAUGAAGCAGAUCCAUGGAUCAGAGUGCAGAGGAGGCCCUCUGAAGGACGGAUUUGUCACGCAUCCCUCGACCCACAUGCAGAUGGAUAGGAGGCAGUCUCAUUAAAAAUAAUUGUCCUUGAAAUGUAUGGCCAUCCAGACCCUGAGGAAUACCUUUGGCUCUCAGGGAAGCUGACCACAAUAAAUCAGCCCCAGUGGCUGUUGUGCUGACAACCUGGGAGAAGAUUAAGCUGGAAUUUCAGCACCAGGAGAAACCUGGAUUUACUGCACAAAAUUACCGUCUCAGAUCACAUAAUUCAAGCUAAAUGGAUGAGUGUGUGUGUGUUUUAUGAGAAAUGGUGCAUAGAUCAGUAUGAUUACACAUUGGGAUAGAAACAACAUUAACAUUUUCUAUGAAGGUCAAAUAUUGUCACAAAGUUAAUUUAUUUAUUAUAUCUCAAACUACAAAAAUAGCUUGACUUUGUUUUUGUAUGUAUGUAUCAAAGUAGCUCCCUCUUUUUGCUAAGACUGGAUUACAAUUAAAACUUUCACUGUCCUCUUUAUGGCCUGUCAGAAGUCAGCAUGAAAAACACGUUAACAUUUCUGGGCGAGAACAGCACACUAACGUCUUACUGUGCCCCAUGAAGGGUUGAGAGAUGAUAGUUUGACUCUAACUUUUAUCUCGUUCCAGACACUGAUUACCCUCCAUGCAGUUAACAUAGAGCUGCAGCUAAUUAGCAUCAAUGGUAAUUAGCAGAGUCGUUAAGAACCUUAUAAUCAACUUUGCUCCUUCACUCAUUUGACUCCCUGGGGCUGUCAGGUCUGUCUGUGCCGAUUCCUUUUCCUCAGCAGGCAACAUACAUUAUACAUGCUGUGUUACAGAGCUUAUUUUUGUGAAAUGGGUUUGAAAUUAACUCAACAGCAGCUCCCAUCCCUCUGCAGUCAUGUACAUUGCUUAGCACAGAGGAUUGCUGUCCAUGGUGCUGAACAGCCAGCGCCACUGAGGCACAGCACAUGUGACACUUCAGAGACUGACUGUAAAAGGCUUGUGACGUUACUUCAAGUGCAGGAUUAUGUAUUUGACCACCAUAACUGUAAAAAUAUUAUUAUUUUUUUGUCUUGUAAUUCUCAGUUCAGAGAUGUUUCACAUAUUUUUGGUUUUCGCUGAGGGAGAAAACAUAAAAAAGAAAAAACAAGAUCUAUAAAGAAUAGUCCAAUUGAGCCAACAGUCAAACAUACAAAUUUGUUUUUACCAAAUGCCCAAGUUGGCCAGACAUAGUGUUUGGAGGAGAAGAAGAAGGUGAACAGUAAAAUUAUUAUUCAACUCUUUAUCCACAACAUUUUACUUCUUCAACUCUCUAAGGCAAUGUGGUUGCAUAGUCAUAUUAGCAAAAUUACUGGUGUGCUUACUUUUUAGUUGUGCCACCAAAAUAAAUAGCAACCAAUCCCUGGAGCAGUUCUAUUUAUUUAUCUGCAUCAGUUUCGUGGUGAGUAAGAUUUUUACAUAACUGAGAGAGCCAAUUAGCGAGGCUACUUAAUAUAAAAUUUAAUUUGUAACAAAUCAAAGUUUCUUGAAAUCAAUUGUGUAUUUAAAAGCCAUAUAAUUUCUGUAAAUGACAGACAUGGGUUUAU